GUAUUUUCAGUAGAAAUGGGGUUUCACUAUAUUGUCCAGGCUGAUCUCAAACCCCUGGCCUCAAGUGAUCCUCCUGCCUCAGCCUCCCAUUUGCCAGGAUUACAGGCAUGAGCACCAGGCACCAGGUCUCUGACUACGUUUCUAUUAAUAUGGUUAGGUUGGAGGUUUUAGUAUUUAUGUAUCUCAUAUUUCUAUCAGUAUGACUGACUUCUAUAUAUGUAGUAUGUGGUAAUAUUAGCUCUGUAAACUGUCAGUUACAAAAAAAAAAAAAAACACCUUGAACUUUAGUAUAUGUUGAUAAUUAGCCAUAAUAAUUUCUUAGUUAAUUUCUUUUAACUAAAAUUUGUCAAAGAGUCAACUUAUAGUUUAUAGCUGAUUAAAUCUCUAAAAAGAUGAGUAAAACAUUGGGAAAUUUAUCUAUUGCAUUUCACCUUGCUUCUUAGGUUUAGGAAGUGCCUCAAAGGCAUAUAUAAAGAAGGACAGAAUUGUUACAAGAUAUUUAUGCUAUCAUUUUUAAUAAUUGGGAUACUUUGUAUACUGCAGAAAGAAAAAUUAACUAAACUCCUUUUUUGUUAGUCAAAAUUGGAAAAAAAUCUUAAUUGACAGUAGCUAUGCCUUUACUGCCCAUAGCAAGUAUUCAGUGGGAAAUACUUUAUUGAGUAAUUUGAACACAGCUUAGAACCCACAGUAUGUUAGAAUUGCUAGCCUUUCAAAAAGCUUGCAUUGUCUUAAUGUAGAAGGAUACUGUGAACUAAGAAUUCAGUUUUAAAAAGUGGACCCUAAAUAAGGUUUCCUAAUCGCAUGAAGUUAUUUGUAUCUUAGAUGAAUUAUAUUUACAACAUUGAAAAUGUCAGUGGGUGAUCCAAAAUAAAUUGUAAAAAUUAUUAAAAUAUACAUUUGAAUAGGUUUCAAUUUGACUAGAAAUAAUUGGCAAGAAGGCAAGAACUAAUCUUCUAGAGCAGGGGCCCCAUCCCCCAGGCCAUGGACUGAUACUGGCCCAUGGCCUGUUAGGAACCAGGCCACACAGCAGGAGAUGAGUAGCAAGCAAGUGAAACUUCAUGUGUAUUUACAGCCACUCCACAUCACUCCAUUACCACCUGAGCGCUGUCCCCAUUGAUAGCAGCAGCAGCAUUAGAUUCUCAAGGAGCAUAAACACUAUUGGAACUAUGUGUGCAAGGGAUCUAGGUUGCGCAUUUCUUAUAAGAAUCUAAUGCCUGAUGAUCUGUUGUUGUCUCCCACCACCCCCCAGAUGGAAUCAUCUAGUUGCAGGAAAACAAGCUCAGGAUCCCACUGAUUCUACAUUAUAGUGAGUUGUAUAAUUAUUUCAUUAUAUAUUACAAUGUAAUAAUAAUAGAAAUAAAGCACACAAUAAAUGUAA